GUGGGGAAUCUUGCGCAAUGGGCGAAAGCCUGACGCAGCCAUGUCGCGUGAAUGAUGAAGGUCUUAGGAUUGUAAAAUUCUUUCACCGGGGACGAUAAUGACGGUACCCGGAGAAGAAGCUCCGGCUAACUUCGUGCCAGCAGCCGCGGUAAUACGAAGGGGGCUAGCGUUGCUCGGAAUUACUGGGCGUAAAGGGCGCGUAGGCGGACAGCUUAGUCAGAGGUGAAAGCCCAGGGCUCAACCUUGGAAUUGCCUUUGAUACUGGCUGUCUUGAGUUUGGGAGAGGUGAGUGGAACUCCGAGUGUAGAGGUGAAAUUCGUAGAUAUUCGGAAGAACACCAGUGGCGAAGGCGACUCACUGGCCCAAUACUGACGCUGAGGCGCGAAAGCGUGGGGAGCAAACAGGAUUAGAUACCCUGGUAGUCC
rnacentral:rRNA from 1 species